GUAGUUUGUGGGCUGGCAAAGGGGAUCACGAAUCAGAAGCUGAUGCUGUCUUUGGGGUCAUGACCUGGAAAAGUUUAGGAACCUGUAACACCUGUGACUGUAACACAUGUAGUAAUUACACAGAGUGACACUUUGGAGUCUUUAUUUUUACUAAUUUCCGAUAAUUUCCUGCAUACAGCAGAUGAAAACACAACAUUUCAAAUUAAAAUAUAUCAGACCAAUAAAAAAACUAAACAUUUUUGUAUAGAAAUGGAAAACUAAAGACACCUACCUAAAGGCUGUUAUCAGCUGAAGGAGAUAAAGAAAGAGACUGAAAAAACACAGAUCCCCUCAGAAUGUGAGAGCCUUAUUAAAUGUUUAACAUGAGAAAAACAGAAAAUAAUCAGAAAAAUCUGCAGCUACACCCUGAGUUAAAGCCAGUUAAAGAUCUAAAGCAGACCCCAAGUGCAAGUGACGGAGCUGUUGUUGAUCUAACACAAACCUCCCAGCAGGAAGCUGCAGGUAAAAGACUCCUGCUGUAUAUUUUACUGCCCUCAUGUGGCUUUUGCCUGCAAACAGCUCACACAUCAGCAGGGCGCCGCAAAAUGUCAAACAGCAACAAAGAGAAAGCUAAAACAUUAGCAGCUAAUGCUGCACGCUCAGUAAAGAUUGGGCCUUGGUUGUAGCCAGGCCCUGCCGUCUGUCCUCUCGUCUCUUUAAUGGAGUGUGAGAUUUCAUGCCUGCAGGCGGACGCAGCCGACACAGAGAACCAGCCGGUGAGGCGUCGGAUCAGAACCGUCUUCUAGGUCAGAGCAGCGCAGAGCUGUGGGGGCAGGUGCACAGACAGGCUGAUGUUCCAGCAGAGCAGCAGAGCAGCAGUCUGUGUGUCACUUCACCUGCAGCGGGGGGUCGAAUCAUCAGCACCAUUUUAUUUUCACAGAGGGACAGAGAUGGAGGAGGCGGCGACAUGCUGGUCAUAAACGCUUGGAGGCAGGAACAGAUUAAAACAGACUGCAAGGUGCAACACGUCGCCAACAGGCUGCUGAGGAACGCUGGUGCACACCGCGGGGGGGCCGGGGGGGGAGACAGAUGACAGUAUGAAUAUCUCUGAGGUGUCGUCUAUAAGUGAUGAUGACUGUUCAUAAAUUAGCAGGAGCGAGGUGAGUGGAGGAGAGACUCUAAAUGAGUGAAAGCUGCGUUCAGAUGACGCGGCCGCCCAGCAGGACCUGGUGACUCACUGAGCUCCGGGAAUUAUGUGGAACCUUUCCCACCAUGCAGUGUGUCAGGGGACACAGUACAGUGUUGCACUGUGGCCACGUCUCUGUGAAGGAACGUAGCGACAUCGCUAACAUGUCCCUACAGCCAAAUUAUUCCCAAACUUUUCUAGAGGUCCUCCAGAAGAUGGAAAACUUUUUUGUUUAUCAAAGAAGACGUGGACUCUUCCACCUUCUGCUCCCUGAAAAGCUCAGGCACAGCCCCGACUCUGAGAAGCACCUCAGCAAGUCCUGUUACAAGGCCUGGGACUAAAUAUGGCAGGAGCAGCUCCAGUGGCUGGAGGGAGGCUCUGCUCACCAGACUAGUUUCUCUUGUAGAGGAAGUCGGGGAAACCCAGAAAAAACAUGGGAACAUGUUGAAUAACCUGCUGAGGCAGAAAUCUGCUGCAUCACUUGAGGAACCACCUGAGGAAGUUGUGUUUCCUGUGACCACAGGGGACGAAGUCCUGGACAUGAACAAAGAGCUGCCUGACUGUGACUUCAUGCCUGGAGAUGUAAGUUAAAAGUUGACUUCCAGAACUGAAACAGUGUGCAGGACAUCAGGCACAUAGGCUGUGAAACAACAUAGACUUAGACCUAGACUUAGACUGACUUUAUUGUCAUUUUGCAUGCACAGGGUGUAUACAGAACGAAAUUCCGUUACAUACGGCUCAGGACAGUGUUUUGAGGUUCCAAUGUUGUGAGGUUACUCCAGAAUAAAAUAAAAUACAGAUGGAACCCAUGAUAACUCAAUAAAUUAGUUUCAAAAAAAUCUGUCUCAGGUAUAUUGAUACCGAAAUGUUUUCAUGUAAUUGUCAUCAUACUCAACGUUGCUAUUGUCAGGGAAAUUGGAGGCACAUCAUUGGAUGAGUCAAAAGGACAAAUAAUGGCAUUUCUGAUGUCAUAUGAACUGAUGCUGCUGUAAAAUCUUUUUGGUUGUCAUGGGAAAAUCUAAUAACAGGACCUUUGAUGUUGUGCUGGCCAAUAGUGUUGUUUUAAAAGUGCUUUAUAAGUUAAAUUGCAUUAUAUUGUGCACAGAGCGUAUUAUAGAAGCCCUAUGUAGAAGCUCUGCACCUUCAGAGUUAAUUUGUAAAAAUUAUUUAUAUUAAAUACAAUAAGGCAUUUGGCACGUACAUGUAUAUAGCCUAUAUUUGGACACUUGUUCUAACCAUAAUCUGAAAUGAAUUUAAAUGUCAUAAAAUGCUUAAAAUGUACUUUAUUUUGAAAAGCCAACACCACUAGUGCUGAGACAGACUGGCAACCUGUCCAGGGUGACCACGCCUCUCACCCAAAGUGUAAGCUGGAGAUAGACACCAGCACC